CCUACGGGCGGCAGCAGUGGGGAAUAUUGGACAAUGGGGGGAACCCUGAUCCAGCCAUGCCGCGUGUGUGAAGAAGGCCCUCGGGUUGUAAAGCACUUUCAGUGAGGAAGAACGCCUGGUGGUUAAUACCCAUCAGGAAAGACAUCACUCACAGAAGAAGCACCGGCUAACUCCGUGCCAGCAGCCGCGGUAAUACGGAGGGUGCGAGAGUUAAUCGGAAUUACUGGGCGUAAAGCGCGCGUAGGUGGCUUGAUAAGCCGGUUGUGAAAGCCCCGGGCUCAACCUGGGAACGGCAUCCGGAACUGUCAAGCUAGAGUGCAGGAGAGGAAGGUAGAAUUCCCGGUGUAGCGGUGAAAUGCGUAGAGAUCGGGAGGAAUACCAGUGGCGAAGGCGGCCUUCUGGACUGACACUGACACUGAGGUGCGAAAGCGUGGGUAGCAAACAGGAUUAGAUACCCGUGUAGUC
rnacentral:rRNA from 1 species